GACGUAGGGUGCAAGCGUUGUCCGGAAUUAUUGGGCGUAAAGAGUUCGUAGGCGAUUUACCAAGUCUGAUGUUAAAGACCAGGGCUCAACCUUGGCAUGGCAUUGGAAACUGGUAGGUUAGAGUAUGGUAGAGGCAAGGGGAAUUCCCGGUGUAGCGGUGAAAUGCGUAGAUAUCAGGAAGAACACCCGUGGCGAAGGCGGUUCUCUGGGACGGUACUGACGCUGAGACGCGAAAGCGUGGGGAGCGAACAGG
rnacentral:rRNA from 1 species